rnacentral:rRNA from 1 species
GAUGAACGCUGGCGGCGUGCUUAACACAUGCAAGUCGAACGGGAAAUACUUUAUUGAAACUUCGGUCGAUUUAAUUUAUUUCUAGUGGCGGACGGGUGAGUAACGCGUGGGUAACCUGCCUUAUACCGGGGGAUAACAGCCAGAAAUGACUGCUAAUACCGCAUAAGCGCACAGAACCGCACGGUUCGGUGUGAAAAACUCCGGUGGUAUAAGAUGGACCCGCGUUGGAUUAGCUAGUUGGCAGGGCAGCGGCCUACCAAGGCGACGAUCCAUAGCCGGCCUGAGAGGGUGAACGGCCACAUUGGGACUGAGACACGGCCCAGACUCCUACGGGAGGCAGCAGUGGGGAAUAUUGCACAAUGGGGGAAACCCUGAUGCAGCGACGCCGCGUGAAGGAAGAAGUAUCUCGGUAUGUAAACUUCUAUCAGCAGGGAAGA